rnacentral:lncRNA from 1 species
CAAACCGAUUUAAAAUCAUUUAUUGCCUACCCCUCCGUAAGCCACAUAGCACUUGUUAUUAUGGCUAUCCUCAUUCGGACUCCUUGAAACUUUACAGGUGCGGUCACCCUUAUAAUUGCUCAUGGACUCACUUCAUCUUUACUAUUCUGCCUAGCAAAUUCAAGCUAAGAAAGAAUCUGUAGCCGAACCACAUUACUUUCCCGAGGCCCUCGAACACUUCUCUUACUAAUAGCCUCAUGAUGAUUUUUAGCAAAUCUUACUAACCUUGCCUUGCCCCCUACUAUUAAUCUAGUAGGGGAACUCUUUGUGACUAUGGCCUCAUUCUCCUGAUCAAAUAUCAGUAUUAUGCUUAUAGGACUUAAUAUGCUAAUUACAGCCCUAUACUGUAUAUGCUAAUCACAACACAACAAGGGGCACUUGUAUAUUAUAUUAACAGUAUCAAACCUUCCUUUACAAGAGAAAAUACAUUAACACUUAUACAUCUAGAGCCUAUCUUCCUAUUAUUCUUAAACCCUAAAAUUAUUUUGGGGUUU